rnacentral:rRNA from 1 species
GUAGGUGGCAAGCGUUGUCCGGAAUUAUUGGGCGUAAAGCGCGCGCAGGCGGUCCUUUAAGUCUGAUGUGAAAGCCCACGGCUCAACCGUGGAGGGUCAUUGGAAACUGGGGGACUUGAGUGCAGAAGAGAAGAGUGGAAUUCCACGUGUGGCGGUGAAAUGCGUAGAGAUGUGGAGGAACACCAGUGGCGAAGGCGACUCUUUGGUCUGUAACUGACGCUGAGGCGCGAAAGCGUGGGGAGCAAACAGGAUUAGAUACCCUGGUAGUCCACGCCGUAAACGAUGAGUGCUAAGUGUUAGAGGGUUUCCGCCCUUUAGUGCUGCAGCAAACGCAUUAAGCACUCCGCCCUGGGAGUACGGCCGCAAGGCUG